UACAGAGGUCUCAAGCGUUGUUCGGAUUCAUUGGGCGUAAAGGGUGUGUAGGUGGCGCGCUAAGUCGGGUGUGAAAUUUCGGAGCUUAACUCCGAAACUGCAUUCGAUACUGGCGUGCUUGAGGACUGGAGAGGAGACUGGAAAUUCAUGGUGUAGCAGUGAAAUGCGUAGAGAUCAUGAGGAAGACCAGUGGCGAAGGCGGGUCUCUGGACAGUUCCUGACACUGAGACACGAAGGCCCAGGGGAGCAAACGGG
rnacentral:rRNA from 1 species